rnacentral:rRNA from 1 species
GAUGAACGCUAGCUACAGGCUUAACACAUGCAAGUCGAGGGGCAGCACAGUGUAGCAAUACAUGGGUGGCGACCGGCGCACGGGUGCGUAACGCGUAUCCAACUUUCCCGUUACUCAGGGAUAGCCUUCCGAAAGGGAGAUUAAUACCUGAUGGUGUUUGAAAUUCGCAUGUUCUUCAAACUAAAGAUUUAUCGGUAACGGAUAGGGAUGCGUGACAUUAGAUAGUAGGCGGGGUAACGGCCCACCUAGUCUACGAUGUCUAGGGGUUCUGAGAGGAAGGUCCCCCACACUGGAACUGAGACACGGUCCAGACUCCUACGGGAGGCAGCAGUGGGGAAUAUUGCACAAUGGGGGAAACCCUGAUGCAGCGACGCCGCGUGAAGGACGAAGGUCUUCGGAUCGUAAACUUCUUUACCAGGGACGAAGAACGUGACGGUACCUGGAGAAAAAAGCAACGGCUAACUACGUG